rnacentral:snRNA from 1 species
AGCUUUGUGCAGUGGCAGUAUCGUAGCCAAUGAGGUUUAUCCGAGGCGCGAUUAUUGCUAAUUGAAAACUAAAAUAUUAUUACAUUCAAAAUAGACAUGAACUGAAUGUAAUUUAUGUAAUUUCAUGUAAU